rnacentral:rRNA from 1 species
UACGAGGGGGCGAGCGUUGCUUCGGAAUUAUUGGGCGUAAAGGGUGCGUAGGCGGUUUGGUAAGUCUCUUGUGAAAUCUAUGGGCUCAACUCAUAGUCUGCAAGGGAAACUGCCGGGCUUGAGUGUGGGAGAGGUGAGUGGAAUUUCCGGUGUAGCGGUGAAAUGCGUAGAUAUCGGAAGGAACACCUGUGGCGAAAGCGGCUCACUGGACCACAACUGACGCUGAUGCACGAAAGCUAGGGGAGCAAACAGG